CUAAAUCCUACUUUAGCUUCCGGAAUCCACUUGCGGUUCUAGUUCUUAUACUCAAUCAUACACAUGACAUCUAGUCUUAUUUGACACAAAAACCCAAACCAUGCUU
rnacentral:sRNA from 1 species